rnacentral:rRNA from 1 species
GACAAACGCUGGCGGCGUGCCUUACACAUGCAAGUCAUACGGUUCGGGAGCUUCGGCUUCCGGAUAGUGGCAAACGGGUGAGUAACACGUAGGCGACCUGCCCAGAAGUGGGGAAUAACCCUUCGAAAGGAGGGCUAAUACCGCAUGUGGUCGGUGGUCCGGUCCACCGACUAAAGCCGAAAGGCGCUUCUGGAGGGGCCUGCGGCCGAUUAGCUAGUUGGUGGGGUAACGGCCUACCAAGGCGAUGAUAGGUAGCUGGUCGGAGAGGACGAUCAGCCACACUGGGACUGAGACACGGCCCAGACUCCUACGGAAGGCAGCAGUGAGGAAUUUUGCGCAAUGGGCGAAAGCCUGACGCAGCAACGCCGCGUGGGGGAUGAAGGCCUUCGGGUUGUAAACCCCUUUUCUCCGGGAAGACAUCGACGGUACCGGAGGAAUAAGCCACGGCUAACUACGUGCCAGCCGCCGCUGUAAUAC